UACAGAGGAGCCAAGCGUUAUCCGGAUUGACUGGGCGUAAAGGGCGGGUAGGCGGCCUCUUCAAGUCGACUGUGAAAUCUCCGGGCUUAACCCGGAACGGUCAGCCGAUACUGCAGGGCUAGAGUGCAGAAGGGGCAACUGGAAUUCUCGGUGUAGCGGUGAAAUGCGUAGAUAUCGAGAGGAACACCUGCGGCGAAGGCGGGUUGCUGGGCUGACACUGACGCUGAACUGCGAAAGCUAGGGGAGCGAACGGG
rnacentral:rRNA from 1 species